CCCGUUGUGAUGAUGUGGUUUCUUACGGCUCUCUUUCCACACACACAGGCAUUUGUAAAAUGUUGAUGGCCAAGCAUGAUACCUCAUGCCUGAGACGCCAGCUCUCAGGAGGCCCCCGGCAAGUUCAAGGCCAGCUUGCUCUACAUGAUCCAAAGAAGCGUCUUUCUCUGAUUCCUUUUAUCUGGAAGAACUGAGAGGAGACGGGCGAACGGUUGUGAGAAUCUCUUUAAGGGGCAGUCCUGGAAUGAGUGAAGGUUUGAACGCUUUUCUUAAAAUCAGAGUCCCGGGAAAUUUUCAUUUUUUCUUCGGUUUUGGCGCCGUGCACCGCUGACUCCUGGCCGCCUGUCUCUCCUAUGGCCUGGCAUCUUCACAGAUGCAGAUUUUGAAAAUGCAUUUCUCCUUUAUCUGAGAGCCCCUCCUGCCCCCUCCUCCAGGACCGACACACUAUGCGUGGAACCUGUGAUGCUAGGCCAUCCUUCCUAUGGUUUGACAUAUUGUCUCACCAGUAAAGGGUAGAGCUGGAACCCACCAUGAAAUCCUGGCCCAGCAAAAUACGUGCCCUAGAGAAGAAGGACCACAAACUCAAGGUCACCUGGGGCUACAUACUUAAGAUCCAGUCUCAAAACUCCAAAUCAAACAAAAAUUGCGCUAAUAAUAAAUUGUAGGAAGUAAGAAGAUGACACCAGGUAGCAGGUCUCAGGCAGCCUCUUUCUGGCUUUAGACUCAUGAUGGCUUAGAGUAGUUUUGAACUCCCAGUAUCAUCUUCUAAAUGUGCAUCUCGACAAAAAAAAAAGGAAUGACUUCGCCGGGCGUGGUGGCGCACACCUUUAAUCCCAG
rnacentral:lncRNA from 1 species